GCCUACAGGCAUAUCACCCUAAAUAUGCUUGAUCUCAUUUGAUCUUUGAAGCUAAACUAGGUCAGGCCUGGUUAGUACUUGGAUGGGAGAAACAUUCUCUAAACUGUGAUUCCUACUUUAGUUUUGUGGGUU
rnacentral:rRNA from 1 species